AAGAAAGAGCCAGUGGUCAUACCUAGAAGACUCUCAAAGCCUAGAGGAUUAGUUCCCUUUCUCAUGUGACAUCAUAGCAAGCAAGGUUAUUUCAGGAGAUGGACCGUGUUGCUCAUACAAAACAGGUGAUUUAUCUUCUUGAAAACAGCAGAAGUUCACAGUCGGAAUUACAGCGAAGAGCAAGCAGAAAAGAAUUAUUGCACUCACAUGGAUGGCACUGCAAUUGCAAGCUGCUGCAGAAUUUCAUACUGCUUCCCUUUCCUUCAUAGUACACUGAGUUUCUACACUGACUAAGAAACAUGGCCUUCUACAUACUGUAAAUUAUGGAAAUCAAUCUACAACUGCUGCAAUGCAACACUAGUCUGACAUCCAGGCAGCACUUUGCGAGCCUCUGGGCUGUAUGUUUAUGGCUUGAAAUGGGUGGCAUGCAGGCAUGAUAAUGGCUACAGAAGCAAUCAAGGAGAACCUUGAAAAUACAUAGGAAGUGAUGGAAUAAUCUAUGACUAUAACACCAGCAUUUUUAUACGAGGUUCUCUUCAGUAGCAUCAAUCAGCUGCCCUAGCAGAAAAUCCUUACUAUUAUCACCACCAGCUGCUAGGUUUUCCAAGUGACAACAAAAUCAGCCUAGACUUCUUUGUCUUAAACAACAACUACUGAAAUCAGCAGGUGGAACUUUUCGCAACUUGGGAGGUAUUCAUGUGAUACCGGAUUGCAGGGAGAAUGGGAUCAC